UGAAAUAAAUAUACAAUUGCAGCUGCUUAGCUAAAAAAUGUUAAUCGGAAGAAGCAAAAGUGGAUGGCGUGGUGCCUGUAAGAUAGUAUCAAUAUGAUCUAGUCUUAAUUAAGUUAGUCGCAGACAAAAAAUAAAACCUGUAAACAAUUUCUCUUUAUAUUUACUUGUUCAAGUGCCAGUGAAACGAACAAUAGAAAAGAAGAAGCAUUCAAAAUGUUCGCAAACUUUUUGUUUGGUGUGUUUUUUGGUUUGGAUACAAAAAAUCAAGUGAAAAUGAUACUGGAAAGUCAAUAACGGAUUUUUAAAUUGUUAUGAGUCUACAACACUUUAUUUCAGCGAAAUUCAAUUAAAAAUUAUGUUAUAGAAGAAAGAAAAAUAUCAUUAUCUGUUUUCAAUAACUUGGCUUUCAUAACCAAUCUGAGAGACUGUUAACCGUUUGACUCCUGUCCCAACCUAACCUAGUAGAUUCAAAACGAAGGAACCGCGCUGGAAACAUGAGUGGAUUAAAAGGAUCAGUCCUUUUUGAAUUAAUAUUCGAAGUGGUAACCAGCUAGAAGUCGUAACCUGCUCGUAGAAAAGAUUUCUCGACGUGAAAUUGUUAAUUUUAUUCAACAAUGCCAAGAAACAGAGCUCGCUCAAGAAACAGAAAAGAAAGAGAAAGAUGAAAAAAUAUUCUGUUGAACAAUACUAUUGUUUUAUUU